UACGGGGAGGGCAAGCGUUGUUCGGAAUUACUGGGCGUAAAGGGCUCGUAGGCGGCCAACUAAGUCAGACGUGAAAUCCCUCGGCUUAACCGGGGAACUGCGUCUGAUACUGGAUGGCUUGAGGUUGGGAGAGGGAUGCGGAAUUCCAGGUGUAGCGGUGAAAUGCGUAGAUAUCUGGAGGAACACCGGUGGCGAAGGCGGCAUCCUGGACCGAGAUUGACGCUGAUGCGCGAAAGCCAGGGGAGCAAACGGG
rnacentral:rRNA from 1 species